CAAAGCAAAGCACCCAAUGGACACAGAAGUCACCAAAGCCAAGAUCAUUGGAUUUGGUUCUGCACUUCUUGAAGAAGUUGAUCCUAAUCCUGCGAAUUUCGUGGGAGCUGGAAUCAUCCACACGAAAACCACCCAGAUCGGAUGCUUGCUGCGCCUGGAGCCGAACCUGCAAGCCCAGGUCAGGCCCUCAGGAAAUGGCUGAACACACUUGAGUUGCUUUUUAUUCUGGCACAAUGUACGUGGUGAGAUGCGUAGCUCUCUAGUGCAGUUCAGUCAGUUGUGACAGAUGUUGUUUAACCACUGCCCUGUCAAUACAUGGUUGCAUCCCAGCCUCCCCGCAGCUGGCCACCGUGGAGCAUCAUCCCUAGUGCAGUUCAGUCAGUUGUGACAGAUGUUGUGUGCCUGUUUAACCACCACCCUGUCAAUACAUGGUUGCAUCCCAGCCUCCCCACAGCUGGCCACAGUGGAGCAUCGUCCCACCAUGGAGCAGCCUGGCCCUGGGCGGUGGCUCUCCCAGCUGUUCCUCUCUGUCACCACGUUGUUCCUUCUCACCACGUCCCGUUCUGUUGACGGACACCUGUCUCCGUUUCACUCGGGU
rnacentral:sRNA from 1 species